CAGUCGCCGCGGUAAUACGAAGGGUGCAAGCGUUAAUCGGAAUUACUGGGCGUAAAGCGUGCGCAGGCGGUUUGUUAAGACAGAUGUGAAAUCCCCGGGCUCAACCUGGGAACUGCAUUUGUGACUGGCAAGCUAGAGUGUGGCAGAGGGGGGUGGAAUUCCGCGUGUAGCAGUGAUGUGCGUAGAUAUGCGGAGGAACACCGAUGGCGAAGGCAGCCCCCCUGGGCCAACACUGACGCUCAUGCACGAAAGCGUGGGGAGCAAACAGGAUUAGAUACCCCUGUAGUCCCUGUCUCUUAUA
rnacentral:rRNA from 1 species